rnacentral:rRNA from 1 species
GACGAACGCUGGCGGCGUGCUUAACACAUGCAAGUCGAACGGAAAGGCCCUGCUUUUGUGGGGUGCUCGAGUGGCGAACGGGUGAGUAACACGUGAGUAACCUGCCCUUGACUUUGGGAUAACUUCAGGAAACUGGGGCUAAUACCGGAUAGGAGCUCCUGCUGCAUGGUGGGGGUUGGAAAGUUUCGGCGGUUGGGGAUGGACUCGCGGCUUAUCAGCUUGUUGGUGGGGUAGUGGCUUACCAAGGCUUUGACGGGUAGCCGGCCUGAGAGGGUGACCGGCCACAUUGGGACUGAGAUACGGACCAGACUCCUACGGGAGGCAGCAGUGGGGAAUAUUGCACAAUGGGCGGAAGCCUGAUGCAGAAACGCCGCGUGCGGGAUGACGGCCUUCGGGUUGUAAACAGCUUUCGCCUGUGACGAAGCGUGCGUGACGGUAAUGGGUAAAGAAGCACCGGCUAACUACGUG